rnacentral:lncRNA from 1 species
AGCGGGAAAGAACGGAAGAGCAGAGUGUACCGGAGCAGAGGGCGGAGGAACGGAGGAGCAGCACGUGUACACGGAGCAGAGGGCGGAGGAACGGAAGGAGCAGCACGUGUACACGGAGCAGAGGGCGGAGGAACGGAGGAGCAGCACGUGUACACGGAGCAGAGGGGGAGGAACGGAGAGCAAGCCCGUGACACGAGCAGAGGGCGGAGGAACGGAGGAGCAGCACGUGUACACGGAGCAGAGGGCGGAGGAACGGAGGAGCAGCACGUGGACACGGAGCAGAGAGGAGGAACGGAGAGCAGCACGGUUACACGAGCAGAGGCGGAGGAACGGAGGAGAGCAGGAGCAGCACGGUACACGGCAGGAGGGCGGAGGAGCAAGCAGCAGUGUACACGGAGAGAGGGCGGAGGAGCAGCAGCACGUGUACACGGAGCAGAGGGCGGAGGAAGGAGGAGCGCAGCAGGUACACGGGCGGAGGACGGAGGGGCAGCACGUGUAACGGGCAGAGGGGCGGAGGAGCAGCACGUGUACACGGAGCGAGAGAGGCGGAGGAGCAGCACGUGUACACGGAGCAGAGGCGGAGGAGCAGCACGUGUACACGGAGCAGAGGGCGGAGGAGCAGCACGUACACGGAGCAGAGGGCGGAGGAGCGCACGUGUACACGGAGCAGAGGGCGGAGGAGCAGCACGUGUACACGGAGCAGAGGGCGGAGGAGCAGCACGUGUACACGGAUCAGAGGCGGGAGGAGCAGCACGUGUACACGGAGCAGAGGCGGAGGAGCAGCACGUGUACACGGAGCAGAGGGGGGAGGAGCAGCACGUGUACCCGAGCAGGGCGGAGGAGCAGCACGUGUACACGGGCAGAGGAACGGGAGGAAGCAGCAUGUGUACACGGAGCAGAGGGCGGAGGAGGAAGAGGCGGCAUGUGUACACGGAGCAGAGGGCGGAGGAGAAGAGCGCAUGGUACACGAGCAGAGGGCGGAGGACGGAGGAGGAAGAGCAGCAUGUGUACACGGGGCGGGGACGAGAAGAGCAGCAUGUGUACACGGGCGGAGGACGGAGGAGGAAGAGCAGCAUGUGUACACGGAACGGGGAGGAAGAGCAGCAUGUGUACACGGGGCGAGGAACGGAGGAGGAAGAGCAGCAUGUGUACACGGGGCGGAGGAACGGAGGGAAGAGCAGCAUGUGUACACGGGGCCCAAGCCCCAGGUGCAAUUUAGAUUUCGGCCACUAG